rfam:Aedes albopictus isolate Foshan contig209700, whole genome shotgun sequence.
CAAAAGGCCCUUUUCAGGGCCACUAUACCAUUCCAAAAAAGAGUUA